AUUGAACGCUGGCGGCAGGCCUAACACAUGCAAGUCGAGCGGGGUUUUCGGACCUAGCGGCGGACGGGUGAGUAAUGCGUAGGAAGCUACCCGAUAGAGGGGGAUACCAGUUGGAAACGACUGUUAAUACCGCAUAAUGUCUACGGACCAAAGUGUGGGACCUUCGGGCCACAUGCUAUCGGAUGCGCCUACGUGGGAUUAGCUAGUUGGUGAGGUAAUGGCUCACCAAGGCGACGAUCCCUAGCUGGCUUGAGAGGAUGAUCAGCCACACUGGAACUGAGACACGGUCCAGACUCCUACGUGAGGCAGCAGUGGGGAAUAUUGGACAAUGGGCGCAAGCCUGAUCCAGCCAUGCCGCGUGUGUGAAGAAGGCCUUCGGGUUGUAAAGCACUUUCAGUAGGGAGGAAGGAUGUUGUGUUAAUAGCACAGCAUUUUGACGUUACCUACAGAAGAAGCACCGGCUAACUCUGUGCCAGCCGCCGCAGUAACAC
rnacentral:rRNA from 1 species